GUGCCAGCAGCCGCGGUAAUACAGAGACUGCAAGCGUUAUUCGGAUUCACUGGGCGUAAAGGGUGCGCAGGCGGUCGUGUGUGUCAGAUGUGAAAUCUCGGGGCUUAACUCCGAAACUGCGUCUGAAACUACAUGACUAGAGUAUUGGAGAGGGUAGCAGAAUUCAUGGUGUAGCAGUGAAAUGCGUAGAUAUCAUGAGGAAUACCAGAGGCGAAGGCGGCUACCUGGACAAUUACUGACGCUCA
rnacentral:rRNA from 1 species